rnacentral:rRNA from 1 species
UACGAAGGGUGCAAGCGUUACUCGGAAUCACUGGGCGUAAAGCGUGCGUAGGCGGUUCGUUAAGUCUGCUGUGAAAGCCCUGGGCUCAACCUGGGAACUGCAGUGGAUACUGGCGGACUAGAGUGUGAUAGAGGAUGGUGGAAUUCCCGGUGUAGCGGUGAAAAUGCGUAGAGAUCGGGAGGAACACCAGUGGCGAAGGCGGCCAUCUGGAUCAACACUGACGCUGAGGCAGAAAGCGUGG